GCGCGCGAUAAAAAUUAAGAUACAAAUUAUUUUUACAAAUGCAUAUUCCUAUACCAUUCGAAUGAAUUUCAAUCCAAAUACCCAUUUUCAAUAGAGUGUGCGGCAUACAAAAGGAAAGAGACACACUACAGCGGAGCGGUCAAGUAACAUUCCAGCAAUUGCUAGUCAAGAAUUUGGAGAGUCGUCUUACGAUGGGUAUGGAAAGUAAUGAGGAAAAUGCGUUACCAGCCCUUUAGGCAAAAGUCUAGUCAUUUUAGAAAAAAGAGUUUAAACUUUUUUAUGCUUGUUUGCAAGCAAUUGCAACAAUUCGCUGAAGUGGAAAGAUGGAUCAGCGGGAAUUGAUGAAAAACGUGUUACUCGGUGCGGAAUCGAGAUAUGAAAUUGAGUAAGAGUAGAAAGGAAUUGAUCGAGAAACGGAAAAACUAAGGGAAAAGAAACAUGCUAGAGUUAGAAAAGCUAAAACGUUAAUUUGAAUGGUGUUCAAAGACCGUGGUUUUAAAGAUGUAAAAGCAAUGGGUAAUGGGUAUGUAGGUAGUAGUAGGUAAGUGUGAGGAUGCGUUAGUGAGUAUGUAGAGAAGAAAAAAAUCGAAAGAAAAGAAAAGAAAAAUAUAAUAAGAAAAAAUAAAAGAAAUAAACCAUCUGAGGCGAAAUGAAGGCGCAUAAGUCGGGUAGAUGCGUAUACACUAAAAGUGCGAGUAGAGACUAGUUUACUCAAUACAUCUACGCAAACAAAAAGUACUUGCGAACCAAGUGUAUGGAAAGGAGGAGAAAAAAGAAGAAACGUUACAAAAAAGAAGAUGAAAAAGAACGUAUAUAGUUAUGAAAGUGCGGGAAGAAAAAAAAAGGCAAACAGCAGACAUGGAAGGAAAGCGGGUUAUUACACUUUAUACUAUUAUAGAUAUUCUAUUAUACAGGUUAAAUAAGUAAAAGAGUAGAUGGGUGGUGGUGGAAUGGGAGUGUUGUAAGUAAAGCGAUAUUGCCAAGUACGUUUGGAGACUGGAGCAAGUGAUGUAUCCUGAAACUGUUUCAUUAUAAUGCAUAUUUUAUUUGUAUUGUGUAUAUGUAUAUGUAUGUGUAUGUUUUGCUUUCCUAUCAAAACGAAGAAGAGCGGAUUUUCGAGGCAAGGCCAAG